UACAGAGGGUGCAAGCGUUAAUCGGAAUCACUGGGCGUAAAGGGUGCGUAGGCGGGUCUUUAAGUCAGGGGUGAAAUCCUGGAGCUCAACUCCAGAACUGCCUUUGAUACUGAAGAUCUUGAGUUCGGGAGAGGUGAGUGGAACUGCGAGUGUAGAGGUGAAAUUCGUAGAUAUUCGCAAGAACACCAGUGGCGAAGGCGGCUCACUGGCCCGAUACUGACGCUGAGGCACGAAAGCGUGGGGAGCAAACAGG
rnacentral:rRNA from 1 species